GUUCUCUGAUUUGUAAUAUGUUAGGUAGAUUUGGUUUCCAACCUUCUUGCAUGAUAUGGUGAUUAUUUUAGGACUACUUAUAGUCAUAUUUAUUUGCUGAAUUCGCAGACUACUUUUUCGGAAACUUGCUUCUGUAAAUUUACAAAGCCUCAGUCAUCAGGAGAAGCUUGCCUUCUGGAUCAAUAUCUACAAUUCCUGCAUGAUGAAUGUAUGUAAGAGCCAUCAAAAGAUAUUCUUAUUUAACACAGUUCAGAACAAUCUUGUGGUGUUACUCACGCCUAAGUAAUCAAGUCUUCCUUAAUUUUUUGUUUCCUGUCUUGUUUAUGUUAAGAAAUUGUUUCAUCUGCUGCAAUUGUUCAAUACUGCAGGCUUUCCUCGAGCAUGGCAUACCUGAGAGUCCCGAGAUACUUGUAGCCCUAAUGCAGAAGGUAAGAAAUAUGUCCUGUUUAUGACAGCAAACCAGAUUGUUAAAUUACUUCUGCUUGUCAAUAAUUCAUAUAUGGACCAUAUGGUUGUAUUUCAUGUGACUCAGGCAAUAAUAAAUGUUGGAGGACACAUCCUGAAUGCAAUAACUAUUGAACAUUUCAUCUUGAGACUGCCGUACCACUCAAAACAUGUAAGUAGCCUCAACUUGUAUGUACAUAGAAGAUUUAUAAUUAUUUUAUUAACUCCUGAGCAGACCGUCUCCAAGGGUACAAAAACUGACGAGAAGACGGCAAGAAGUACUUUCGGAUUGGAAUUAUCCGAACCAUUGGUAACAUUUGCACUAUCAUGUGGCAGCUGGUCUUCCCCUGCGGUAAGUUUUGGAAGAAAUAAAAUGAUCUGUCUAAUUACCAUUUAAUAAUCGACGCUGUAUGAUAUUACUAAUAUAUGAUCUCUGCCAAAAUACAGGUGAAAGUGUACACUGCAUCCCAAGUUGAGAAUGAACUAGAAGUUGCAAAAAUAGAGUACUUGCAAGCUGCAGUUGGAAUUUCAUCAAAUAAGUUUGCAAUUCCAAAGAUUUUGGAUUGGUAUUUACCUGAUUUUGCUAAGGAUUUGGAGUCUUUGCUUGAUUGGAUCUCCCUUCAGCUCCCAAGUGAAAUGGGAAAAGAAGCACUCAAGCUUCUUGAAAGAGGGAAAAAUGAGCCUCUUUCACAAUUAGUCCAAGUUACGCCCUAUGAGUUUAAUUUUAGGUACCUUCUAUACAAAUGAUCCAAAUAUUUGGUUCUGCAAAUUAUUGUUCACAUCAUCCCCCGCCCCCCGGGGGGGGUGGUGGUCGGGGUGGUGGGGUUUAUGAUUUUGUACAUAGCUAUAGACAUAUAUGCAAAUUACAUGUAUAAUAUAUGCUCUCUUUUAACUGUAAGUAAUAAUGAGCUAAAUGAGUCGAGUUUCAAAGCACUAUCUAUGAUUAGAAGCGGCUUUUAGCUUAAGUGGUUUAGAACAUCUAUGUUUGCACUCUGGUCAUGUGUUCUACUCCUUAUCUCUCGACACUAGGGUUUGUAUCUCAAGUAGUUUAGCCCAUUUACGUAUCCACUCUAGUCGUGUUCUCUACUCUCCAUUCCCUAAUAUUAGAAUUUGUAUCUUAAGCAGUUAAGAGCAUUUACUGUUGCACUCUAAUCCUCUAUUCAGUUUCGCCUUCUCCGAUAUUGCUUAUAUUAAAAAGUACUAGUUAUGAUUUGAUCAUCUGCAUAGAUGGAGAAUCUAAAGAUUGGUCCAUGCUAAAGAAAAUUUCAUUGGAAACAAGUUGAGUGAGUGGUCCUAAAAUUUGUCAUGUUCACGACAUAGACCUAUCCAUCAGCCACAUCGUAGCAACAAACAGACCACGCUUUUCAAGGUGGAGGGGUCACUACUUAGAGUAGUCUAAACCUGAAUGGGAUGUUUUACCAAAGGGAGAAAUCAGAAAAAGAAAACCCUACAAUGGUGUUUCAUACAUUCCACCACGCUUUUGUACCUACAUGAUCGUCGACACGCCUAGGAUGAGUGAAUCGCUCAUUUACUAAUAUCCAUUGACUCGAAAUCAGGCUCUGAUACAAAUUGUUAAGAGUUGAUGGGUAAACGUCCAUCAGCCACAUCGAAGCAAUGAACAGACCAGGCUUGUCAAGGUGGAGGGGUCACCACUACUUAGAGUCUAAACCUGAGUGGGACGUUUUACCAAAGGGAAAAAUCAGAAAAAGAAAACCCUACAAUCUGGUGUUUCACACAUUCCGCCACGCUUUUGUACCUACGUGAUCGUCACUCAUUUACUAAUGUUCAUAUUGACUCGAAAUCACUCUGAUACAAAUUGUUCAGAGUUAAUAGGUAAAACGUGCCCUACGAAACCGACUUAAAAAUAUCACACCACUCUCUUCCGUAUCUAUAUCCUCGGCGUCCCACCUAGUGGCAACCAUUUCCUUCUUUUAACACAGAUUCACAAUCCCCUAAUUAAUAUCAAUUUAUAAGAUCCUAGAAGUAGAACGUGCCCCUACAACACCGACUUAUAAUCCCUUCCUCUAAAGCUCUUAAAUCAGUGAAAAAUAUGUUAUUUUUCGAAUGCGGGACGUUGAGUAAUUUUCAACAUAAAUUACCACAAUUAUCACCCUGUACUAAAGAACAUACAGAAUAGUUAGAUUUUCUGUACCUGUUGACUUCAGGCUGCGAUAUAUUCUGUCUUCUUCUUCCUGGUGAGAUUAAAAGUUUCUACGCCCGUGAUAAAUCUGGAUCGCCCCACAGCAUUUUGUUGGCGUCUAGGGUUUUUACUCAAACAAAUAGUACGGCUGGUUUGAGGCCCAAACUUAAUUGUUGCAGUAGGCACCAAUAUCUUUUUGAAAGACAUUUGGACUGUAUCUUCCAACUGCUAGACAAGGCAACCGCGUUUAGGGUCC
rnacentral:lncRNA from 1 species